UGGGGAAUAUUGGGCAAUGGGCGCAAGCCUGACCCAACAACGCCGCGUGAAGGAAGAAGGCUUUCGGGUUGUAAACUUCUUUUGGCAGGGACGAAGAAAGUGACGGUACCUGCAGAAUAAGCUCCGGCUAACUACGUGCCAGCAGCCGCGGUAAUACGUAGGGAGCAAGCGUUAUCCGGAUUUACUGGGUGUAAAGGGCGCGUAGGCGGGACUGCAAGUCAGAUGUGAAAUCUGAGGGCUCAACCCUCAAACUGCAUUUGAAACUGUGGUUCUUGAGUGAUGGAGAGGCAAGUGGAAUUCCUAGUGUAGCGGUGAAAUGCGUAGAUAUUAGGAGGAACACCAGUGGCGAAGGCGACUUGCUGGACAUUAACUGACGCUGAGGCGCGAAAGCGUGGGGAGCAAACA
rnacentral:rRNA from 1 species